UACGGGGGGGGCAAGCGUUGUUCGGAAUUACUGGGCGUAAAGGGCUCGUAGGUGGCCAACUAAGUCAGACGUGAAAUCCCUCGGCUUAACCGGGGAACUGCGUCUGAUACUGGAUGGCUUGAGUUUGGGAGAGGGAUGCGGAAUUCCAGGUGUAGCGGUGAAAUGCGUAGAUAUUGGGAGGAACACCGGUGGCGAAGGCGGCAUCCUGGACCGACACUGACGCUGAGGCGCGAAAGCUAGGGUAGCAAACGGG
rnacentral:rRNA from 1 species